GGAUCAGGUAGGGAUACCCGCUGAACUUAAGCAUAUCAAUAAGCGGAGGAAAAGAAACCAACAGGGAUUGCCCUAGUAACGGCGAGUGAAGCGGCAACAGCUCAAAUUUGAAAUCUGGCGCAAGCCCGAGUUGUAAUUUGUAGAGGAUGCUUCUGGGCAGCGGCCGGUCUAAGUUCCUUGGAACAGGACGUCAUAGAGGGUGAGAAUCCCGUAUGUGACCGGCUGGCACCCUCCACGUAGCUCCUUCGACGAGUCGAGUUGUUUGGGAAUGCAGCUCUAAAUGGGAGGUAAAUUUCUUCUAAAGCUAAAUACCGGCCAGAGACCGAUAGCGCACAAGUAGAGUGAUCGAAAGAUGAAAAGCACUUUGGAAAGAGAGUUAAAAAGCACGUGAAAUUGUUGAAAGGGAAGCGCUUGCGACCAGACUUGUCGGCGGUGUUCCGCCGGUCUUCUGACCGGUUCAUUCGCCGUCGGCAGGCCAGCAUCAUCUGGGGCCGCCGGAUAAAGGCUUUGGGAAUGUAGCUCCCCUCGGGGAGUGUUAUAGCCCUUUGCACAAUACGGCGCGCCCCGGGUGAGGUCCGCGUCUCGGCAAGGAUGCUGGCGUAAUGGUCGUAAGCGGCCCGUCUUGAAACACGGACCAAGGAGUCGAUUAUCUAUGCGAGUGUUCGGGCGUCAAACCCCUACGCGUAAUGAAAGUGAACGGAGGUGGGAACCCUCGCGGGUGCACCAUCGACCGAUCCGGAUGUCUUCGGAUGGAUUUGAGUAAGAGCAUAGCUAAUCGGACCCGAAAGAUGGUGAACUAUGCCUGAAUAGGGUGAAGCCAGAGGAAACUCUGGUGGAGGCUCGCAGCGGUUCUGACGUGCAAAUCGAUCGUCAAAUUUGGGUAUAGGGGCGAAAGACUAAUCGAACCAUCUAGUAGCUGG
rnacentral:rRNA from 1 species